rnacentral:rRNA from 1 species
AUUGAACGCUAGCGGGAUGCUUUACACAUGCAAGUCGAACGAGUGGCGGACGGGUGAGUAAUAUAUCGGAACGUGCCCAGUAGCGGGGGAUAACUACUCGAAAGAGUGGCUAAUACCGCCUACUAUUGGAGCGGCCGAUAUCGGAUUAGCUAGUUGGUGGGGUAAAGUCGCCCCAAGGCCACGAGCGGUAGCUGGUUGCAGAGGACGACCAGCCACACUGGGACUGAGACACGGCCCAGACUCCUACGGGAGGCAGCAGUGGGGAAUUUUGGACAAUGGGGGAAACCCUGAUCCAGACAUCCCGGGUUUAUGAGAAGUCCUUCGGGUUGUAAAGUACUUUUGGCAGAGAAGCGGUAUCUGCAUAAUAAGCACCGGCUAACUACGUGCCAGCAGCCGCGGUAAUUC